UACGUAGGGGGCGAGCGUUAUCCGGAAUUAUUGGGCGUAAAGAGUGCGUAGGUGGUUUUUUAAGCGUGUGGUGAAAGGCAAUAGCUCAACUAUUGUAAGCCUCUCGAACUGGAAGACUUGAGUGCAGGAGAGGAAAGCGGAAUUCCUAGUGUAGCGGUGAAAUGCGUAGAUAUUAGGAGGAACACCAGUGGCGAAGGCGGCUUUCUGGCCGACAACUGACGCUGAGGCGCGAAAGCGUGGGGAGCAAACAGGAUUAGAUACCCGCGUAGUCCCU
rnacentral:rRNA from 1 species